rnacentral:lncRNA from 1 species
AGUGCUCAAAUCCAUGAUCUACAUAGGUGGAGAACUUCAGUAGAGGAAGUGGCAGGAAUUUGGGAAUGAGGAGCACAGUGAUUAAACUGGGGCCAUUCAUAUGAGAGUUUAAGAACUCAGACCAGUGACUUAGAUUGGCUUCUCUCACAUGGCAAGAAACAUUGCUGCUAGCACUUCCCGAGUUCUACGUUCUACAACAUCCACCACUGGAUCUUAACAUAGACGUAAGAUCAAAUGCAAUAGCAUGUCAAACAAUGUGUAACUCCAGUUAUACAAACAUUACUGUAUCUCAUUGGGGAUACGAAGCUCUACACACUUGAAGAUGG